GACGAACGCUGGCGGCGUGCCUAAUACAUGCAAGUCGAACGCUUCUUUUCCCACCGGAGCUUGCUCCACCGGGAAAAGAGGAGUGGCGAACGGGUGAGUAACACGUGGGUAACCUGCCCAUCAGAAGGGGAUAACACUUGGAAACAGGUGCUAAUACCGUAUAACAAUCGAAACCGCAUGGUUUCGUUUUGAAAGGCGCUUUACGGUGCCGCUGAUGGAUGGACCCGCGGUGCAUUAGCUAGUUGGUGAGGUAACGGCUCACCAAGACCACGAUGCAUAGCCGGCCUGAGAGGGUGAUCGGCCACAUUGGGACUGAGACACGGCCCAAACUCCUACGGGAGGCAGCAGUAGGGAAUCUUCGGCAAUGGACGAAAGUCUGACCGAGCAACGCCGCGUGAGUGAAGAAGGUUUUCGGAUCGUAAAACUCUGUUGUUAGAGAAGAACAAGGGUGAGAGUAACUGUUCACCCCUUGACGGUAUCUAACCAGAAAGCCACGGCUAACUACGUGCCAGCCGCCGCAGUAA
rnacentral:rRNA from 1 species